rnacentral:tRNA from 1 species
GGGGACAUAGUAUAAUGGUAAAUAUAGUAUCUUUGCAGGAUAGCUGAUGCCAGUUCAAAUCUGGCUGUCUCCA